UACGAAGGGUGCAAGCGUUAAUCGGAAUUACUGGGCGUAAAGCGUGCGUAGGCGGUUUUUUAAGUCUGUUGUGAAAGCCCUGGGCUCAACCUGGGAAUGGCAAUGGAUACUGGCAAGCUAGAGUCAGGUAGAGGGUGGUGGAAUUCCCGGUGUAGCGGUGAAAUGCGUAGAGAUCGGGAGGAACAUCUGUGGCGAAGGCGGCCACCUGGACCAUGACUGACGCUGAGGCACGAAAGCGUGGGGAGCAAACAGG
rnacentral:rRNA from 1 species